AUUGAACGCUGGCGGCAUGCCUUACACAUGCAAGUCGAACGGUAACAGGUUAAGCUGACGAGUGGCGAACGGGUGAGUAAUAUAUCGGAACGUGCCCAGUCGUGGGGGAUAACUGCUCGAAAGAGCAGCUAAUACCGCAUACGACCUGAGGGUGAAAGCGGGGGAUCGCAAGACCUCGCGCGAUUGGAGCGGCCGAUAUCAGAUUAGGUAGUUGGUGGGGUAAAGGCCCACCAAGCCAACGGUCUGUAGCUGGUCUGAGAGGACGACCAGCCACACUGGGACUGAGACACGGCCCAGACUCCUACGGGAGGCAGCAGUGGGGAAUUUUGGACAAUGGGCGCAAGCCUGAUCCAGCCAUGCCGCGUGCGGGAAGAAGGCCUUCGGGUUGUAAACCGCUUUUGUCAGGGAAGAAAAGGUUCUGGUUAAUACCUGGGACUCAUGACGGUACCUGAAGAAUAAGCACCGGCUAACUACGUGCCAGCCGCCGCAGUAA
rnacentral:rRNA from 1 species